AGCAUUUUAGUUUGCUUGCAAACUGAAGAUGGCGACCGGCGCACGGGUGAGUAACACGUAUCCAACCUGCCGAUAACUCCGGGAUAGCCUUUCGAAAGAAAGAUUAAUACCGGAUGGCAUACUAAUAUCGCAUGAUAUUUUUAUUAAAGAAUUUCGGUUAUCGAUGGGGAUGCGUUCCAUUAGUUUGUUGGCGGGGUAACGGCCCACCAAGACUACGAUGGAUAGGGGUUCUGAGAGGAAGGUCCCCCACAUUGGAACUGAGACACGGUCCAAACUCCUACGGGAGGCAGCAGUGAGGAAUAUUGGUCAAUGGACGAGAGUCUGAACCAGCCAAGUAGCGUGAAGGAUGACUGCCCUAUGGGUUGUAAACUUCUUUUAUAUGGGAAUAAAGUAUUCCACGUGUGGAAUUUUGUAUGUACCAUAUGAAUAAGGAUCGGCUAACUCCGUGCCAGCAGCCGCGGUAAUACGGAGGAUCCGAGCGUUAUCCGGAUUUAUUGGGUUUAAAGGGAGCGUAGGUGGAUUGUUAAGUCAGUUGUGAAAGUUUGCGGCUCAACCGUAAAAUUGCAGUUGAAACUGGCAGUCUUGAGUACAGUAGAGGUGGGCGGAAUUCGUGGUGUAGCGGUGAAAUGCUUAGAUAUCACGAAGAACUCCGAUUGCGAAGGCAGCUCACUAGACUGCACUGACACUGAUGCUCGAAAGUGUGGGUAUCAAACAGGAUUAGAUACCCUGGUAGUCCACACAGUAAACGAUGAAUACUCGCUGUUUGCGAUAUACAGUAAGCGGCCAAGCGAAAGCAUUAAGUAUUCCACCUGGGGAGUACGCCGGCAACGGUGAAACUCAAAGGAAUUGACGGGGGCCCGCACAAGCGGAGGAACAUGUGGUUUAAUUCGAUGAUACGCGAGGAACCUUACCCGGGCUUAAAUUGCAUUUGAAUAAUCUGGAAACAGGUUAGCCGCAAGGCAAAUGUGAAGGUGCUGCAUGGUUGUCGUCAGCUCGUGCCGUGAGGUGUCGGCUUAAGUGCCAUAACGAGCGCAACCCUUAUCUUUAGUUACUAACAGGUCAUGCUGAGGACUCUAGAGAGACUGCCGUCGUAAGAUGUGAGGAAGGUGGGGAUGACGUCAAAUCAGCACGGCCCUUACGUCCGGGGCUACACACGUGUUACAAUGGGGGGUACAGAAGGCAGCUACCUGGUGACAGGAUGCUAAUCCCAAAAACCUCUCUCAGUUCGGAUCGAAGUCUGCAACCCGACUUCGUGAAGCUGGAUUCGCUAGUAAUCGCGCAUCAGCCAUGGCGCGGUGAAUACGUUCCCGGGCCUUGUACACACCGCCCGUCAAGCCAUGAAAGCCGGGGGUACCUGAAGUACGUAACCGCAA
rnacentral:rRNA from 3 species